CGAGUGGCGGACGGGUGAGUAAUGUCGGGGAAACUGCCCGAUGGAGGGGGAUAACUACUGGAAACGGUAGCUAAUACCGCAUAACGUCGCAAGACCAAAGAGGGGGACCUUCGGACCUCUUGCCAUCGGAUGUGCCCAGAUGGGAUUAGCUAGUAGGUGGGGUAACGGCUCACCUAGGCGACGAUCCCUAGCUGGUCUGAGAGGAUGACCAGCCACACUGGAACUGAGACACGGUCCAG
rnacentral:rRNA from 1 species